GAACCACCCACCACUUCCCAAAUUACCUCCCCAGUGGAAUUACUUUGUUAUCCCAAUAAUUUGAAACACCAGGUACUGGAACCCCACUGCUGCCACAUGGAAGCUGCACUGAAGGAGAUGGGACAGAUGUGAUCCAGGUCUGUUGAGCAGCCAGGAACUGGAUUUUGGUUUGCGUGCAUCAAAUAUCAUCACUUUGAGUCACAACACGUCAGUGCUCUGAGCAAGAUGCUCAGGGGCAGAAUUGGGAUGAAGUCAUGGAGGGAACCAGCAGCUGCAAAAAUACAGGGAUUGGGAAACACAGCCGACGUCAAACUGCUCUGGGAAGGCAUGGCAGGAAUUACAACACAGGCACUCCUGGUGUUUUUUGGGGGAAAAAAUAAAAAGGGGGGACUUUUGCUGCACGGAAAGCAAUAAAAGAAGAAAGAAAAGAAGUAAGUUCUCUCA